GACGAACGCUGGCGGCGUGCUUAACACAUGCAAGUCGAACGGAAAGGCCCUGCUUUUGUGGGGUGCUCGAUUGGCGAACGGGUGAGUAACACGUGUGUAACCUGCCCUUGACUUUGGGAUAACUUCAGGAAACUGGGGCUAAUACCGGAUAGGAGCUCCUGCUGCAUGGUGGUGGUUGGAAAGUUUCGGCGGUUGGGGCUGGUCUCGCGGCUUCUCCGCUUCUUGGUGGGGUAGUGGCUUACCAAGGGUUUGACGGGUAGCCGGCAUGAGAGGGUGACCGGCGACAAUGGGACUGAGAGACGGAGCAGAAGCGAACGGGAGGCAGCGGUGGGGAAUAUUGCACAAUGGGCGGAAGCGUGAUGCAGCAAAGCCGCGUGCGGGAUGACGGCCUACGGGGUGAAAACAGAUUUGGCAUGUGACGAAGCGUGAGUGACGGUAAUGGGUAAAGAAGCACCGGCUAACUACGUG
rnacentral:rRNA from 1 species